AACAAUAUCAGUUUUGGUACCGCGCGGUGCGGGUUUUAUUCUAGUGCAUACAUGAGGACAAGGAUAGGCCUGGGCCUCUGCAUCAUUUUCUUUAUUUUGUAUGCUUUAGCUUGAGUUUGUUAUUCUUUAAUUUCUGUUUGUGUGCUUUCCAUUGAGCACGAUGUAGUUAAAUCACCAGUUUGCAUGCAUAGUGUUGUUUAAAAUGUUUAUAUUGAAAAAAAAAAUUCACAUUUGCAUUUUUGAGCCAUGAUCUAU
rnacentral:lncRNA from 1 species